rnacentral:rRNA from 1 species
AGCGAACGCUGGCGGCAGGCUUAACACAUGCAAGUCGAGCGGGCAUCCUUGUGGUGUCAGCGGCAGACGGGUGAGUAACGCGUGGGAACGUGCCCUUCGGUUCGGAAUAACUCAGGGAAACUUGAGCUAAUACCGGAUACGUGCGAGAGCAGAAAGGUUUAUCUGCCGAAGGAUCGGCCCGCGUCUGAUUAGCUAGUUGGUGAGGUUAUGGCUCACCAAGGCGACGAUCAGUAGCUGGUCUGAGAGGAUGAUCAGCCACACUGGGACUGAGACACGGCCCAGACUCCUACGGGAAGCAGCAGUGGGGAAUAUUGGACAAUGGGGGCAACACUGAUCCAGCCAUGCCGCGUGAGUGAUGACGGCCUUAGGGUUGUAAAGCUCUUUUCUCCGGGACGAUAAUGACGGUACCGGAGGAAUAAGCCCCGGCUAACUUCGUG